rnacentral:tRNA from 1 species
CUCCCUGUGGCUCAGUUGGUAGAGCAUGGUGUUUGCAACGCCAGGGUUGUGGCUUCUAUUCCCAUGGGGGGC